CAGUUAAAGAGGAAUUUGCCACCUAGGCGCUGCCCAGGGCAAUUUAGUUAUAAGUGAUUUAAAUUGAAUAAGAUUUAGAUGAAAUUAUAUCAAAAUCUCUCUUCAAUAGAUGAUAGACUUUCUCUAUUUAAAAAAAGGUAAGAUAUCUUUAAAUACUGUACCAAAAUAGUUGUAAAUAUAUAGUCAAGCAGAUAUAGUCAAAUACUUCAAAAAUUAGUGAUUAUAUUUCUAUAAUUUAUCACCUUAUAAUUGUAUAUAAAGCUUUUUACUAGACUCCAACUUUGUUAGAUCUAUCUACAAUAUCAACAUAGACAAAUAUUAAAAACAAAAUGGCCAAGGCAGCUUCUUCACUUGCUCUCCCCAUAAUCUUCCUUGUUUUGUUUUCCUUUGGUGAACAGAAUAUGGGAUCUAUAUGGUGCGACAAAUUUAUUGGACCAUGCGUUAAAUUUCCAGAUUGUGAUCAAUCUUGCAGAGAUAAACUUGGACCAGAUUCAAAUGGCUUUUGCGACAUAAAAGCCAAAAAUUAUUGUCAUUGCAAAUAUGAUUGUUGGAACGGUAAAACUCAUGUGUGAACUAGAAUGCUAUGAAAUGUCAACUGUUUCCAAUGUAUAAGUAAAAAUCAAGGAACAAAAUAAUGUCAAAUCAUAUUGGAUAUGGUUUUUGUAUUAUUUCUAAAGCAUUACCCAUAAUAUAUGGUAUCAA